AAAUUGAAGAGUUUGAUCAUGGCUCAGAUUGAACGCUGGCGGCAGGCCUAACACAUGCAAGUCGAACGGUAACAGGAAGCAGCUUGCUGCUUCGCUGACGAGUGGCGGACGGGUGAGUAAUGUCUGGGAAACUGCCCGAUGGAGAGGGAUAACUACUGGAAACGGUGGCUAAUACCGCAUAACGUCGCAAGACCAAAGAGGGGGACCUUCGGGCCUCUUGCCAUC
rnacentral:rRNA from 2 species